UGCCAGGUUGCCCGAGCGGCCAAAGGGAGCGGACUGUAAAUCCGCCGGCAUUGCCUUCAGAAGUUCGAAUCUUCUACCUGGCACAGA
rnacentral:tRNA from 1 species